rnacentral:lncRNA from 1 species
CCAUGCCCACUCUCUCUUAUUUUAUGUGACAAAACCUUCUCUCCCAGGCCUUCACACAUGUCCAAAGCUUUCCACUCUUUCUCUCUUACAUGGAAUAUAGUUGUGGACCAAGUCAAAGUAGGAAUUAGUUUGGAUUUCAAAUUCUAUGAGAUAGAAUUUUAGGAAACCAAAACUCUUUCCUUAUGACACUGAUUUUACUCAAAUUUUUUUUGAGAUUUUUGUGAAUUUUAUGGCACAUAUUGUGUGCUCUUUGCUGGUGGUCCAUGGUAGAAAAAGAAGGAGGGAGCGCCCAUGAGUUGGGCACCACUUUUCUUGCCCUAUUUGGAUUUUUCUUGACUAAGUAUUUGACCUAGACAAA